GUAUAAGAGACAGCAGUCGCCACGGGAAUACGAAGGGGGCUAGCGUUGUUCGGAUUUACUGGGCGUAAAGGGUGCGUAGGCGGACUGAUAAGUCAGGGGUGAAAUCCCAAGGCUCAACCUUGGAACUGCCUUUGAUACUGUUAGUCUUGAGUUCGAGAGAGGUGAGUGGAACUGCGAGUGUAGAGGUGAAAUUCGUAGAUAUUCGCAAGAACACCAGUGGCGAAGGCGACUCUCUGGUCUGUAACUGACGCUGAGGAGCGAAAGCGUGGGGAGCGAACAGGAUUAGAUACCCGGGUAGUCCCUGUCUCUUAUAC
rnacentral:rRNA from 1 species